GCCCCUGUAGCAGAACGGCAGAUGCGGCCGGUUUAAACCCGGCGUCAAUGAAGGUUCGACUCCUUCCAGGGGCA
rnacentral:tRNA from 1 species